AAGUACCACCCCUCAGACUGCGCUAGGCAUGCUCCAAAUGCUGUGUUAGUAUAAAGGAGAACAGUCCAGCUUAGUCUGGGUUGAUCACCAAGGAGGAAGGACAUUGGUUGGAGGCUCCAGCCCAGGAGCCAUUACAGCCCUUGCCUGUGGGAGUCACAUGGAGACCAUGGUGCCCUAUGGACUGUAGCUUCAGGAAGCCCGGUAGGAAGUGACCCAGGGAGGAUCUUCAAAAAAAGCUACUGCUUGGCAAACUACUAUAAUCAAUGGAGGAACUGGACUGCCCAACGUGUCAGGGGCACAUUUAUCCAUAUAACUGUCCAAUUCCUUAUUGAAUCUUGGGGCUUUCUGAGUAGCCUGUAUAAAGAACUCCGGAAAAAUGAAGAGUAGAUUUGUUCCUAGCAGGCAGGAAGGAAGUUGUCAGGCGGAAAAAGGAUAUGGACCUGUUUGCAUGCGAGGAAUCACAGUCCAAGUGAAAAGCCUGUUAUUCAUCCAGUUCCAUUCGGGGGGUCUCUUUGCUACUCUUGUACAAGUCUUAAAGGCAGGGAGUGCUCUGGGGCUGGAGUGGGUGCUGACAGGAAGAACAGUCAGUGGACCGAGUGCUCUCCAAGUGGAGAUGGAAGUGUUUUGACCUAUAAAGACCUGAAAUCUCUUGGGAUCUGCCUAUCUGAGAGAGUCUUUCUGUGUGAUACUGUUCUGUU